rnacentral:rRNA from 1 species
ACUCCUACGGGAGGCAGCAGUGGGGAAUAUUGCACAAUGGGCGCAAGCCUGAUGCAGCCAUGCCGCGUGUAUGAAGAAGGCCUUCGGGUUGUAAAGUACUUUCAGCGGGGAGGAAGGCGAUAAGGUUAAUAACCUUGUCGAUUGACGUUACCCGCAGAAGAAGCACCGGCUAACUCCGUGCCAGCAGCCGCGGUAAUACGGAGGGUGCAAGCGUUAAUCGGAAUUACUGGGCGUAAAGCGCACGCAGGCGGUCUGUCAAGUCGGAUGUGAAAUCCCCGGGCUCAACCUGGGAACUGCAUUCGAAACUGGCAGGCUAGAGUCUUGUAGAGGGGGGUAGAAUUCCAGGUGUAGCGGUGAAAUGCGUAGAGAUCUGGAGGAAUACCGGUGGCGAAGGCGGCCCCCUGGACAAAGACUGACGCUCAGGUGCGAAAGCGUGGGGAGCAAACAGGAUUAGAAACCCCGGUAGUCCCAUGA